AAAUGAAUUGACGGGGGCCCGCACAAGCGGAGGAGCAUGUGGCUUAAUUCGAUGCAACGCGAAGAACCUUACCCGGGUUUGACAUGUAUCUGCAAGUCCUAUGAAAGUAGGAUUCCUUCGAGGGUGAUACACAGGUGCUGCAUGGCUGUCGUCAGUUCGUGCCGUGAGGUGUUUGGUUAAGUCCAGCAACGAACGCAACCCCUGUGCCUAUUUAACAACGGUUCGGCCGGUUCCUUUAGGCAGACUGCCUGUUUACACAGGAGGAAGGUGGGGACGACGUCAAGUCAGUAUGGCCCUUACAUCCGGGGCUGCACACGUGCUACAAUGGCCGGUACAGAGGGACGCAAUACCGCGAGGUGGAGCAAAUCCUUAGAGCCGGCCCCAGUUCAGAUUGCAGUCUGCAACUCGACUGCAUGAAGUCGGAUUCGCUAGUAACGGCGCAUCAGCAUUGGCGCCGUGAAUACGUUCCCGGGCCUUGUACACACCGCCCGU
rnacentral:rRNA from 1 species